GAUAUGCUACAUUUAUUACAGUGGGUUAGUGCCUGUGGGUUUUUAAGAUAUUAGUUUGUAUUAUUAAAUUGAAGCUCCAUAGGGUCUUCUCGUCUUAUUUAGGUAUCUCCGCCUCUUCACAGAUAGGUCAAUUUCACUGAUGAAAAGUAAGAGACAGUUAAACCCUCAUGUUGCCAUUCAUACAAGUCCCUAUUUAUAGAACAAGUGAUUAUGCUACCUUUGCACGGUCAGGGUAGCAAAUCAC